AGGUUGAUAGGUCAGAGGUGGAAGCAUGGUGACAUGUGGAGCUGACUGAUACUAAUAGAUCGAGGACUUAACCAA
rnacentral:rRNA from 1 species